rnacentral:sRNA from 1 species
CCUUCUCUCUUGCACGGGCUGUGCCUGAUUGCGACAAUGCAACCAAAGGUGGCACGACGCCUUCUUGAAGAACCAGGGUGCAAAACCUGUUACUGUUUGUGCAGAGUUGUAGC